rnacentral:rRNA from 1 species
UUAGUUCGUGGAGUGAUCUGUCUGCUUAAUUGCGUUUCAAAUUUUAUAUUUGUUAACAUGCGAGUCUUCAAUGACGGCCACUCCACCUUAUAGACAUUAUAUGAUAUGCACAUUUGUGUAUUUGAUUAUAACUUGUCUGGAGUCUGGCUCGAUUUUUUUGACUCAAUUGAACGCAACGGACGUGAUUGCAAGUCCUUGUUGAACAAAUUAUAUAUAUACUACUUCAUCAUUAGUAUAUAUAGUUCGCUUCUCAUGUCGUAGCAGUCAAACGGGCGGGCGUCUUAAUUGGCGCGGUCACGAGGCUUAAUAUGCUGCGGCUGGGAAAACUUGGGCGACCGCUGUAAUACUUCUCUCUUAAACCAGAGGAAGAUUGCGGCAAUAACAGGUCUGUGAUGCCCUCAGAUGUCCCGGGCCGCACACGUGCUACAUUGAUUAGCGCAGUGCGCAUACUUACAUAUAGAUCAUUGAUUGGUUAUUUAUAACCGUCAAUAUCGCCUUGUCUGAAAGGACUAGGUAAUCUAUUGUAAGUGCUGGUUCCUCCUCCCGUUGAGCAUUUUAAUAAUGGUCUCUCUACAUCCCUAGCACAUGAUGUCUAGUGCGAUUGUAGUUGAGUUCUGCCAUUUAUGCAAGUGUCAAUUCUCAG